rnacentral:rRNA from 1 species
GGAUGUGGGAUUGCACAGACAACCAGGAUGUUGGCUUAGAAGCAGCCACUCAUUCAAAGAGUGCGUAAUAGCUCACUGGUCGAGUGAUCCUGCGCCGAAGAUUUCCGGGGCUAAAACUUACUACCGAAGCUACGGCAUCAGUAAUGAUGGGGAGGGGAGCUUCCCAUACGGGUUGAAGCAUGACCGUAAGGACAUGUGGACAGUAUGGGAGUGAGAAUGUUGGCAUGAGUAGCGAGAUGUGGGUGAGAAUCCCACAGGCCGUAAACCAGGUUUCCAGGGGAAGGUUCGUCCGCCC